rnacentral:rRNA from 1 species
CUACGGGUUGCUGCAGUGGGGAAUCUUGGACAAUGGGCGCAAGCCUGAUCCAGCCAUGCCGCGUGAGUGAAGAAGGUCUUCGGAUUGUAAAGCUCUUUUGCCAGGGACGAUAAUGACGGUACCUGGAGAAUAAGCCCCGGCAAACUUCGUGCCAGCAGCCGCGGUAAUACGAAGGGGGCUAGCGUUGUUCGGAAUUACUGGGCGUAAAGCGCACGUAGGCGGGUCGUUAAGUCAGGGGUGAAAUCCCGGAGCUCAACUCCGGAACUGCCUUUGAUACUGGCGAUCUUGAGAUCGGAAGAGGUGAGUGGAAUUCCCAGUGUAGAGGUGAAAUUCGUAGAUAUUGGGAAGAACACCAGUGGCGAAGGCGGCUCACUGGUCCGAUACUGACGCUGAGGUGCGAAAGCGUGGGGAGCAAACAGGAUUAGAUACCCCUGUAGUC